UAAUAGUGUAUAUUAAAGUUGUUGCAGUUAAAAAGCUCGUAGUUGAAUGUUGGUGUCGAACGAGCGGUCAGCUUCGGCUGUACUGCUCUCUCGACUCCUUCCUUCUGUGGACUACGUCGCACUUUACUGUGUGGCGCUAGGACGCAGAUCGUUUACUGUGAAAAAAUUAGAGUGUUCAAAGCAGGCCGUACGCCUGAAUACAUUAGCAUGGAAUAAUGGAAUAGGACGUCGGGCCUAUUUUGUUGGUUCUAGGACCGUCGUAAUGAUUAAUAGGGACAGUUGGGGCCGUUUAUAUUCCGUAGUCAGAGGUGAAAUUCUUGGAUUUACGGAAGAUAAACUACUGCGAAAGCAUUCGGCAAGGAUGUUUNCGUUA
rnacentral:rRNA from 1 species